rnacentral:snRNA from 1 species
AUCGCUUCUCGGCCUUUUGGCUAAGAUCAAGUAUAGUAUCUGUUCUUAUCAGUUUAAUAUCUGAUACCUCCUCUAUCCAAGGACAAUAUAUUAAAUGGAUUUUUGGAAGUAGGGGUUGGAAUAGGAACUUGCUCCGUCCACUCCACACAUUGACCUGGUAUUGCAGUACUUCCAAGAACGGUGCACCCCUA